CCUACGGGGGGCAGCAGUGAGGAAUAUUGGUCAAUGGCCGUAAGGCUGAACCAGCCAAGUAGCGUGAGGGAAGACUGCCCUAUGGGUUGUAAACCUCUUUUAUGCGGGGAUAAAUGUGUCCACGUGUGGAUGUUUGCAGGUACCGCAUGAAUAAGGACCGGCUAAUUCCGUGACAGCAGCCGCGGUAAUACGGAAGGUCCGGGCGUUAUCCGGAUUUAUUGGGUUUAAAGGGAGCGUAGGCCGGUCUUUAAGCGUGCCGAUAAAUUUGGUGGCUCAACGAUGAGGGUGCGGCGCAAACUGGGGACCUUGAGUGCGCGGAAGGCAGGCGGAAUUCGUGGUGUAGCGGUGAAAUGCUUAGAUAUCCCGAAGAACCCCGAUUGCGAAGGCAGCCUGCCGCAGCGUUACGGACGCUGAAGCUCGAAAGCGCGGGUAUCGAACAGGAUUAGAUACCCCGGUAGUC
rnacentral:rRNA from 1 species